AAAUCAAUUUCUAAAUCUAAAGAUGUUGUUUCCAUCACUAAGUUUUCAAAAGCUUACAUUGGAUUUGUUCUUGGCAAAUAAAAUUGAAAUAUUUUCUGUAUUUGCUAAAUCUUGUAAAAGUGUUUCAAAUGAUAAAGGUUUCCAAAUUGUGAAGAUAAAGAGUAUAAUGGCACAGUGUUGAAAACCAAAAUCCUGAUAAAGUUUAUACAGAAAUUAAUUAUUUCAGCACCAAGGACAUCUUAAGUAAAAUAGGGUUAAUAGAAUUCUUGAAGAAAUGAAAAAGACAAUUGUGUAUGAUAGUCAUCUACUCAAAUGAUUUUUAGAAGCUAUCAUCACUGCUUGUCAUACAUAUGAUUUCUAUUUUUGAUGAAAACUCCUUUUGAUCUUCUGAAAAAUGGAAAAUGAACCAUUGCAUAUCUUUCAUAUUUUUCAGUCGUACAUGUUAUGCUUGAUAUGUUCUCUUGAAAAAUAAUGCCAAAUCUAAUAAAGAUAUUUCUAUCCUUGGAUAUCAUUCAU
rnacentral:lncRNA from 1 species